rnacentral:rRNA from 1 species
AACGAACGCUGCGGCAUGCCUAACACAUGCAAGUCGAACGAUCCCUUCGGGGAUAGUGGCGCACGGGUGCGUAACGCGUGGGAACCUGCCCUUAGGUUCGGAAUAACUCAGAGAAAUUUGAGCUAAUACCGGAUAAUGUCUUCGGACCAAAGAUUUAUCGCCUUUGGAUGGGCCCGCGUUGGAUUAGCUAGUUGGUGGGGUAAAGGCCUACCAAGGCGACGAUCCAUAGCUGGUCUGAGAGGAUGAUCAGCCACACUGGGACUGAGACACGGCCCAGACUCCUACGGGAGGCAGCAGUGGGGAAUAUUGGACAAUGGGCGAAAGCCUGAUCCAGCAAUGCCGCGUGAGUGAUGAAGGCCUUAGGGUUGUAAAGCUCUUUUACCCGGGAUGAUAAUGACAGUACCGGGAGAAUAAGCCCCGGCUAACUCCGUG